UCCUUACCCCUUCAUUUCUUUGGCACAGGUCCUUUUUCAGAAGUGACAAACAUGUGGGGACAGCACACUUGAAGCUGGACAAGCUGGAAUCAGAAUGUGAAGUUAGAGAGAUCAUCGAGAUUUUUGAUGGCAGAAAGCCCACUGGAGGGAAACUGGAGGUAAAAGUGAGACUCAGGGAGCCCCUCAGUGGUCAAGAUCUUCAAACAGUUACAGAAAAUUGGCUGGUCCUUGAGCGUUAGUUCUGUCUGAGGUACGAACGCUGCGUCCAGAGGUGGUCUGGCAGGACUUGACAGGGCUACAGAUAAACCCUGCUUGAAUAAUGUCUUCUGUAGGCAUUGACCUAAUUACUCAGCUCUGGCUUCAGUAGCAUUCCUCUUUAUAUUUGUGGUGGGGAGUUGACAUCAUUUCAUAAAUGAGGUUACAGAAUCUCUGAUUAGUUUGUAUCUCAAAGAUGCUGUUUCACAAUCACUUGUAAUACAGGGACAGCUCCUGGUGUCACCUUUACUAAGAAUAUUAUUUAGAAAAUAAGUGAUAAAUAAUCUAUCUUGCUUUGCUUG